CGGAGACUCACCUGAGCACGUCACAAACAGAUCAUGUGACGGAGGAGCCGAUCUGCAUCUGAGUGUUUCAGAGCUGGUUGGUUGACACUCCUCAGAGCUGUUUUCUGAUUGGCCUGAGGCUGUCUCUGCGACAGCCAAUCAGUGAGCGAGUGAUGGUGCGCUGCAUCUCGUGAGGGGUCUGACUACCGGGAAGAGACGAGGAGACGAGCAUCACCUCCUCCUUCUCCUCUGCUCACUGCUUCCGGGAAGUGUUCUUCAGCUAUUUCAGAGCUGAAUGUUUGAUGGACCCGGCUGCUGGGCCCGGUUCUGUUUCCUGCUAACAGCGGAUCAGUCUGAGCUGAAUGUGCUUCACUUUAAUCAGACGAACAUGGAUCAGUGGAGCUGUGACAUCACAGAUCAGCUGGUUCAGAGGCCGAAAGGUUGUCGAAGAAAAACCAGACAUGAGUCACAGACAGUCACACAGUCAGACAGACAGUC